rnacentral:rRNA from 1 species
AUGCAGGGUGAUGAGGAAGACCAGGAUGACAACAAUUCUGGUGGCAACAGUGGCAAUGGCGGAAACAAUGGAGGGAACGAGGAUUCUGCAGGUGAGGAAACAGAGACUGAUGACGAGCAAUCCACACUUCAAUAUUUACUCGAAGAGAAAAAGGAUAUGAAGCCAAAGGGGCUUGACGAGGCAGUUAGCAUCUCUGUGAGAGAUGUUGUUAUGAUGGACGAGGAAAGUUACUGCAAAAUGCCACGCAUCCGCAUGUUUGAAGUGAAAGAAAUGUUGGAUCUCGACGAGCAGCCUAUUGCAGUGCUAGCGAGCAAAAUGUUCCAAGAGCUAUUGAGAAAAGAAGAAAUGGAACUGGGGAUGGCAUUCAAUCUUGAGGAUGUCUGCCCCAAGUGGAUUCGCAAGAAAAUCAUGAGGGAGAUAGGGGCUGCACAUGAACCCAAGGAAGUUGGUGUACCACCACUUCCAACACCAAAGAAGAAAAAGAGUGUGAGUUUCGUAUCAGAGCCAACGGUGUUGACGGAGACAGUGGAGGAACUGCGAGCUAUGCGUGCCCAAAAUGUUCAAGAACUGCAAGGUGGAAAGGAAACAAAGUCAGCCAUGAAGAAAUCUGGGCCUUUUCAGUUGCAACAUCAGGCAUUACAUCAUGCAAAAGAGGCAAGUUCUAGCACUCACAAGAACUAG